ACGGGAGGCAGCAGUGGGGAAUAUUGCACAAUGGGCGAAAGCCUGAUGCAGCGACGCCGCGUGAGUGAAGAAGUAUCUCGGUAUGUAAAGCUCUAUCAGCAGGGAAGAAAAUGACGGUACCUGACUAAGAAGCCCCGGCUAACUACGUGCCAGCAGCCGCGGUAAUACGUAGGGGGCAAGCGUUAUCCGGAUUUACUGGGUGUAAAGGGUGCGUAGGCUGUGUGACAAGUCAGUGGUGAAAGCCCGGGGCUUAACUCCGGAACUGCCAUUGAUACUGUUACGCUGGAAUACGGAUGCCGUGGGAGGAAUGAGUAGUGUAGCGGUGAAAUGCAUAGAUAUUACUCAGAACACCGAUUGCGAAGGCAUCUCACGAAUCCGUUAUUGACGCUGAGGCACGAAAGCGUGGGGAUCAAACAGGAUUAGAUACCCUGGUA
rnacentral:rRNA from 1 species